rnacentral:rRNA from 1 species
CGUGUAGGCGGCUAGGUAGGUCCGUUGUGAAAACUCGAGGCUCAACCUCGAGACGUCGAUGGAAACCAUCUAGCUAGAGUCCGGAAGAGGAGAGUGGAAUUCCUGGUGUAGCGGUGAAAUGCGCAGAUAUCAGGAAGAACACCCGUGGCGAAGGCGGCUCUCUGGUACGUGACUGACGCUGAGACGCGAAAGCGUGGGGAGCAAACA